AUUAGUUGCCAUCAGGUCAAGCUGGGGACUCUAAUGGAAACUGCCUACGCAAGUAGUGAGGAAGGUGGGGAUGACGUCAAAUCAGCACGGCCUUACGUCCAGGGCUACACACGUGCUACAAUGGCCGGUACAAAGGGCAGCUACCUGGUGACAGGAUGCUAAUCUCAAAAGCCGGUCUCAGUUCGGAUCGGAGUCUGCAACCCGACUCCGUGAAGUUGGAUUCGCUAGUAAUCGCGCAUCAGCCAUGGCGCGGUGAAUACGUUCCGGGCCUU
rnacentral:rRNA from 1 species